AGUGAACGCUGGCGGUAGGCCUAACACAUGCAAGUCGAACGGCAGCACAGUAAGAGCUUGCUCUUACGGGUGGCGAGUGGCGGACGGGUGAGGAAUACAUCGGAAUCUACUUUUUCGUGGGGGAUAACGUAGGGAAACUUACGCUAAUACCGCAUACGACCUACGGGUGAAAGCAGGGGAUCUUCGGACCUUGCGCGAUUGAAUGAGCCGAUGCCGGAUUAGCUAGUUGGCGGGGUAAAGGCCCACCAAGGCGACGAUCCGUAGCUGGUCUGAGAGGAUGAUCAGCCACACUGGAACUGAGACACGGUCCAGACUCCUACGGGAGGCAGCAGUGGGGAAUAUUGGACAAUGGGCGCAAGCCUGAUCCAGCCAUACCGCGUGGGUGAAGAAGGCCUUCGGGUUGUAAAGCCCUUUUGUUGGGAAAGAAAAGCAGCAGGUUAAUACCCCGCUGCUCUGACGGUACCCAAAGAAUAAGCACCGGCUAACUUCGUG
rnacentral:rRNA from 1 species